rnacentral:rRNA from 1 species
UAGGGAAUCUUCCGCAAUGGGCGAAAGCCUGACGGAGCAACGCCGCGUGAGUGAUGAAGGUCUUCGGAUCGUAAAACUCUGUUAUUAGGGAAGAACAAAUGUGUAAGUAACUAUGCACGUCUUGACGGUACCUAAUCAGAAAGCCACGGCUAACUACGUGCCAGCAGCCGCGGUAAUACGUAGGUGGCAAGCGUUAUCCGGAAUUAUUGGGCGUAAAGCGCGCGUAGGCGGUUUUUUAAGUCUGAUGUGAAAGCCCACGGCUCAACCGUGGAGGGUCAUUGGAAACUGGAAAACUUGAGUGCAGAAGAGGAAAGUGGAAUUCCUAGUGUAGCGGUGAAAUGCGCAGAUAUUAGGAGGAAUACCGGUGGCGAAGGCGACUUUCUGGCCAUAAUCUGACGCUGAGGCUCGAAAGCGUGGGUAGCAAACAGG